AUGAACGCUGGCGGCGUGCUUUACACAUGCAAGUUGAGCGAGGCGGCCCGCAAGGGCCAGUCGAGCGGCGAACGGGUGAGUAACGCGUGGAUUAUCUGCCCUGAGGUGGGGAACAACCAGGGGAAACUCUGGCUAAUACCGCAUGAUACCGAGAGGUCAAAGGGGGCUCGCAAGGGCUCUCGCCACAGGAGGAGUCCGCGUUCGAUUAGCUAGUUGGUAGGGUAAUGGCCUACCAAGGCGACGAUCGAUAGCCGGCCUGAGAGGGUGAUCGGCCACACUGGAACUGAGACACGGUCCAGACUCCUACGGGAGGCAGCAGUGGGGAAUUUGCGCAAUGGGCUAACGCCUGACGCAGCAACGCCGCGUGGAGGAUGAAGGUCUUUGGAUUGUAAACUCCUGUCGGCAGGGAAAAAGCGACACGACCUAAUACGUCGAGGAGUUG
rnacentral:rRNA from 1 species